GAAAUGCGAUAAGUAAUGUGAAUUGCAGAACUCAGUGAAUCAUCGAAUCUUUGAACGCACCUUGCGCUCCUUGGUAUUCCUUGGAGCAUGCCUGUUUGAGUAUCAUGAAAUCUUCAAAGUAAAUCUUUUGUUAACUCAAUUGGUUUCUACUUUGGUAUUGGAGGUCUUUGCAGCUUCACACCUGCUCCUCUUUGUUCAUUAGCUGGAUCUCAGUGUUAUGCUUGGUUCCACUCGGCGUGAUAAGUUAUCUAUCGCUGAGGACACUGUAAAAGGUGGCCAAGGUAAAUGCAGAUGAACCGCUUCUAAUAGUCCAUUGACUUGGACAAUACUUUUAUGAUCUGAUCUCAAAUCAGGUAGGACUACCCGCUGAACUUAAG
rnacentral:misc_RNA from 1 species